UACGUAGGGGGCAAGCGUUGUCCGGAUUUAUUGGGCGUAAAGAGCGUGUAGGCGGUUAUACAGGUCCGCUGUGAAAACUGGAGGCUUAACCUCCAGACGUCGGUGGAAACCAUCAGACUAGAGUCCGGAAGAGGAGAGUGGAAUUCCUGGUGUAGCGGUGAAAUGCGCAGAUAUCAGGAAGAACACCCGUGGCUAAGGCGGCUCUCUAGUACGGUACUGACGCUGAGACGCGAAAGCGUGGGGAGCGAACAGG
rnacentral:rRNA from 1 species